AGAUUAUCCAUACCAAAUCACCUUCCCAGAUAGUUUACUCAGUCACAACUCACAUGAAAGAAGAUCUGGCGAUGUUUAUUUGUCGUAUGAUCUAUAGAAUGUGCAGUUACAACAGGUAAAAGAACGAUUCUUCCAUACAGGUUAGGAGAGAUAUCACAAGUCAUAUGAAUGUACAGCAUAGAAAACACUAGAGAGGGGGAGGGG